GACGAACGCUGGCGGCGUGCCUAAUACAUGCAAGUAGAACGCUGAAGCUUGGUGCUUGCACCGAGCGGAUGAGUUGCGAACGGGUGAGUAACGCGUAGGUAACCUGCCUGGUAGCGGGGGAUAACUAUUGGAAACGAUAGCUAAUACCGCAUAACAGUAGAUGUCGCAUGACAUUUGCUUAAAAGGUGCAAUUGCAUCACUACCAGAUGGACCUGCGUUGUAUUAGCUAGUUGGUGAGGUAACGGCUCACCAAGGCGACGAUACAUAGCCGACCUGAGAGGGUGAUCGGCCACACUGGGACUGAGACACGGCCCAGACUCCUACGGGAGGCAGCAGUAGGGAAUCUUCGGCAAUGGACGGAAGUCUGACCGAGCAACGCCGCGUGAGUGAAGAAGGUUUUCGGAUCGUAAAGCUCUGUUGUAAGAGAAGAACGAGUGUGAGAGUGGAAAGUUCACAG
rnacentral:rRNA from 1 species